UACGAAGGGGGCGAGCGUUGUUCGGAUUUACUGGGCGUAAAGGGCGCGCAGGCGGCCGCAUUUGUCAGGCGUGAAAGCCCCGGGCUUAACCUGGGAACUGCGUUUGAUACGGUGUGGCUAGAGUUCGGGAGAGGAGAGUGGAAUUCCCAGUGUAGAGGUGAAAUUCGUAGAUAUUCGCAAGAACACCAGUGGCGAAAGGCGGCUCACUGGCCCGAUACUGACGCUGAGGCACGAAAGCGUGGGGAGCAAACAGGG
rnacentral:rRNA from 1 species